UGCGGGGCGCGGCCAUGUUGUACGGCGCCAGGCGCCGCCGUGUCGCGCCGCGAGGAGGGGCGUUAGCGCUCGAAGCCGCCCCGCGUGAGGCCGAGCGGCCGCGUGGGAGCCGCCAUCGUGCCGUACGGCAGCGCCGCCGCCGCGCGGGAGCUGCCAUCUUGUGGCAGGCGGCGGGCAGCGGAGGGCGCCGCUAUGUCCCGCCGGCCGGGCGGCGAGCAGGGCGUCCGCCUCGGCGCCAUGAGCCCCCGCUACCUGCAGAGCAACAGCACCAGCCACGCGCGGCCCUUCAGCGCCGUGGCCGAGCUGCUCGACAACGCUUCGGAUCCCAGCGUCACGGCGAAGCUUUUCUGCAUCGACGUCGUGGAGCUCAAGGGUCACCUUUGUUUAACUUUUACGGAUAACGGGGCAGGAAUGACCCCUCACAAGCUGCACCGCAUGCUCAGCUUUGGUUUCACGGAGAAGGCUCUGAAGAGAAACCACCGAGGCAUUGGGGUGUACGGAAAUGGCUUCAAGUCUGGCUCCAUGCGGCUGGGGAAGGAUGCCAUCGUCUUCACCAAGAAUGGCGGGGCCCUCAGCGUGGGGUUGCUUUCCCAGACCUACCUGGAACGUGUCCAUGCGGAGGCAGCGACUGUCCCCCUGGUGCCGUUCAACCAGCAGAACAAAAAGAUAAUUGUUACUGAAGACUCUGUGCCCAGCCUGGAGGCCAUCCUGGAGCAUACCCUCUUCAACACCACGGAGGAGCUGCUGGCACAGUUUGAUGCUAUCCCAGGCAAGAAGGGCACGCGCAUCCUCAUCUGGAACAUCCGCAGAAAUAAAGAUGGAAAGCCAGAGCUGGAUUUUGAUACGGAUGAGUAUGAUAUUCGGUUAGCGGACUUCCUCGCAGAGGAUGCGGAGAUUCCUGGCAAAAAGUUUCUGCCCUGUCAGGAGGUGGUCCAAGAGUUUCCUGCCCCGGAGACAGAGUACUCUUUACGGGCAUUUUGCAGUAUCUUGUACCUGAAGCCUCGCAUGCAGAUCGUCCUGCGACAGAAGAAGGUGAACACUCAGCUGAUCUGCAAGAGCUUGGCCAACAUCGAAUAUGAUGUAUACAAGCCCACCUUUGCCAACGAAAGAGUGAAGAUCACCUUUGGAUUCAACUGCAAGAAGAAAAACCACUAUGGGAUCAUGAUGUACCACAACAACCGGCUCAUCAAGUCCUAUGAGAAAGUGGGCUGCCAAAGGAAGGGAGAAGGCGUGGGUGUCGUUGGGGUAAUUGAAUGCAACUUCUUGAAACCAGCACAGAACAAACAGGACUUUGAAGAAAGCAAGGAGUACCGACGGACAGUCACUGUGCUGGGGCAGAAACUCAAUGCCUACUGGAAGGUGAAGAUGGCCCAGAUGAAUUUGGGAAGUGCGGAUGCAGCCUGCAUAGUAGCAGAGAGACCAGACCAGACAUGGGUGCAGUGUGAGGAGUGUCUGAAAUGGAGGAAACUCCCUGACCAGGUUGAUCUCGCAUCGUUACCAGAAAAGUGGUUUUGCUAUCUCCAUCCCCUCCCCAAAUACAGAAGCUGCUUGGCACCUGAGGAACAGGAAGCCAGUGGUGAGGAGAAGAGCCCCAGCUACAACCAGAAAUGCAGGAAAGGGGAGCUGAGUGCAGAGAGGGAGAGGAGGAGGUCGUCAUCCUUGUCGUCAGGGGAGAGCAUGGAACAGCAGGCGUCGUCCCCUGCAUCAGUGCCCUGGCCUGCUCAGACCAGCAGUUUCACCUGCACUGUGAAGCUGGAGCCUGAGGAAAAGAUUGCUGAUGGGACUGCUGCCUCUCCCCCUCUUCUCAGAAAGAUCACUGCAAGCCAGACAGGAACUGGACCUCAGGAACCAAACACCCCCUUGACAGCAGGCAAGCCCAGCUUGACCGUAAAAGAGCUACUGGAAAAGCAUGAGGAGCAGAUGGAGGUUUCACCCCCAGAUCUGACUUGUCCCAGCCUCCCUCCUUUUCCCCUUCAGAAGAGUUUUGCAGUACCUUACCGAAACAGGGAAGACCUUGUGUGCAUAAAACAGGAGACAAAUGUAGGUGGCAGCUUGCACACCUAUCUGCUCAAAGGGCUGCCGGGCACCCUCAGCAGCACCAGCCAUGCUAACAGUGCGUUGCGCUGGGAUGGAUGCUGCCUCAGGGAGGAGACUCCAGCAUCGCCCAGUAGCUCAGCAGGAGAUCAUAAGGAGACUGGCAUGGUCCAGGAAGAGUUGGAAGACCAAAUGCCAAACUUAAUAGCAGAAAGACAGGCUGCAGACUUGAGCGUUUGUGUGAACACGUACAGGAGCACAAAGGACAUGGACAAGAGACCCUUUGUGGCAGUGGUUGGUGUUUCAAAGGCUGCUGCAGGUGAUGAAGCUCCUAUUCAGCUCUUCCCUUUUGACUGGAAGGAGAGACUUGACAGGCCAAAGAUGGGGAAGGCCCCAUGCCUCAGGACUGGAGACAGAGGAGGAGAAUUACAAGUUUUGAACACAGGGGAGCAGGAGGAUAUAACGGAGCAGGAGGACAUGAGAAGAGCAAUGGAGAAUAUCUCUGUGGAACUGAAGACUAUUUCAGCAGAGCGGGAUUUGCUCCGGUGCAAGGUGGAGGAAAUAGAGCAUGAGAAGUGUUAUCUGAAAACAGAGUUCUUGAAAAGCCAGCAGGAACUGGCAGUGCUCAGAGCUCAGGAGACUGAAGGCUUGUACUGGAGCAAGAAACAUAUGGGUUACCGCCAAGCUGAAGUGCAGGAGCUGAAGGCAAAGCUGGAAAGGUCCAUAGAGGAGAAGGCUGAGCUGAUGGAGAGACUCAAGGCGACAGAGAUGCACUUAGAGGUGCUCAGGGAGGCACAAGUUUCCUGCAGGGGUCCGGAGAGAGGAGACGUGAAGAGGACACCGCUACCCUGGUAUCCAUCACCCUGGUGACUGGAUUAUAACUGAAGAUCUUGCUGUUGUGAGGGGGUGGAAUCAACAGAUGAAUCCAAGUAAUUGAUCAGGCUUCAAAAACACCAUACAAAAAAGAGUUAUGGAGAAACUUAAGAACCUGCGUAUGAAUGUGAGUUGGCUUCUCUCAUUGGUCCUCCCCCACUUGGAGCUCCAGGAGAUUAACUUUGAGUCGGAUCAGGUGGAUGAGAUCUUGCAGACCGUACUGGAGACAAACCGCAUGUUGGAGUAGUCUGUUCUCUCCUGCCACUGUGCCUUUUGUACAGUAUCAUUAAUAAACCCCUGGUUUAUUUA